AACGAACGCUGGCGGCAUGCCUAACACAUGCAAGUCGAACGAGACCUUCGGGUCUAGUGGCGCACGGGUGCGUAACGCGUGGGAACCUGCCCUUAGGUUCGGAAUAACUCAGAGAAAUUUGAGCUAAUACCGGAUAAUGUCUUCGGACCAAAGAUUUAUCGCCUUUGGAUGGGCCCGCGUAGGAUUAGCUUGUUGGUGGGGUAAUGGCCUACCAAGGCGACGAUCCUUAGCUGGUCUGAGAGGAUGAUCAGCCACACUGGGACUGAGACACAGCCCAGACUCCUACGGGAGGCAGCAGUGGGGAAUAUUGGACAAUGGGCGAAAGCCUGAUCCAGCAAUGCCGCGUGAGUGAUGAAGGCCUUAGGGUUGUAAAGCUCUUUUACCAGGGAUGAUAAUGACAGUACCUGGAGAAUAAGCUCCGGCUAACUCCGUGC
rnacentral:rRNA from 1 species